ACGCUUUAAUUUCAUUGCUGAUUCUGAUUAAAGCAUCAUGCAGUGGUGUCCCUGCCUCAUUAGCUGCAGAUAUUGAGAAACUUAUUUUAUGUGAUAAUAUUCCUAUGAAUGAGUUGACCAAGCAAGUUGCUCGGCUUUCUGUUUCACUUGUGGAUGAGAGGUACAUUGACUUGAAAAAAACUAGUAUUGAUUCCAAAUGUUUGCCUGGUGAAGAAUUUGUUCAUACGAAGAACUCUUUAGCUGAAGCAGCCGCACCUUUUAGUAGGCUGGGUAAAGAAAUGCAUAUUCCAGACUUGAAAACAUUUGUUGGUGAAGAAAGAAGUAACGCGAUAGUGCA
rnacentral:misc_RNA from 1 species